ensembl:lncRNA
GACCUCCAGUGGGUGCAAUGGGGUUGGACUCAGAGAGUCAGUUUUCACUAUCCUUGUUUUUUAUUACAACCUCUGUAGGCUCAUCCCAAGUCUGUGUCUAGGUUCUCUCCUCUCGCACUACUCCAUUGAGGGGGGCUCCAUCAGCCCUAGGUGUGGACACAACUUUCAUUCUCCAUGUGGAGCCUCCCAGCUCUCUGCCAGCUCUAGCCUAUUCCAAUUCUUUGUGGGUGUCCCUGAUACCUAGAAACAUGUUCUACUCUGGAAAUCCUGAGGCCACAGCUGUCAGGGACUCAGGUGAUCUACAUUACUCUUUCUGUCCUUCAUUGUGGCCUCUCCAUCUCACCUUUAGCCCCAUAACAACCUGCUCACAGGUGUCCCUCCACCCACCUCAGCUCCAUUCACUGCAGAUUCCAAAAACUUGGUUCAGACCCAGGAGCCCCCUUGGCCAUUUCAUUCCUGCCUCUAGAUUAUUGUUUGUAUUACUGCGGUCUGCUUGAAGGGUCUCCCCUCUUUCCACCACACCCACAAGUACCUGGGAAUCCCACUUACUGAUAAGCUCAGUAUUACCUUAUCUGUCUCCUGAAGCCCUCUUGGUCUUUUCUUCAGGCCACUUCUAUACCUCUCUGCCACCCACUCGCAGAAUCUGGACUUAAUAAAAAAUAAUAAAAAGAAACAACGAAGAGCUAAACUAGAAAGUCAAGCAUAUUCUCAUGGAGGAUGAAAAAUAAAACAAGGAUGCAUUUUGUCACUUUAUUAAGUGACAAUAAACAUGCAGGUACUCUGACCUCUGGGGAUUACAAGGACAGAAAUCAGAGAUCUUAGGGCUUUGCUGUCUAUCUGUAACUCAGUAUCUCCUUGUAGCCACAGUGUGCCUUAUUACCCUGAGCAUGUUAUGUCUCUAUCACAUUUCUUUCCGUGAAGUGUGUGUCAGUGCAGGGACUGAAAUGAGCGUGCAUUAUGAGAUAACCAUGUGUCUGAGAACCUGUUUUCAUUCAUGUGGGAAUAGGAACCAGGAACUACACUUAUUGGUUCCAGGCAUCCUACAAACAUUUGGUUUAAGUGCUUUCCUUUUUUAAGAGAACACAGUUAGUUGCAACAGAUGUCUUGAAGCAUUUCACAUGACGUGUCUGCUUUUUCAGUUAAGAAAAGACCACUCACACCAAUCUAGCGCUUCUCAAUGUAUUUUCUCAACAGCACACAGACCUUGGGUUUUUAUGCAGCUAACCUAAAUCAUUUUGCUGUGCUUUUGUCUUUCCAUCUGUUUAUAAGAUACAGCAAGCUCUUCUUCUCAAAUCUUGAAUUGCUAAUGACACCUCUUAUAAUUUGCUUAGACUUCUUCUGGGACAUAUUGUUUACAAAUUUAAGAACUCUCUUAGAAGUGAAUGUCUAAGGGCUCUCUUGAAAGAACUGAGCACAAUAGAGUUCAGAAUUUUGUAGAAAACAUGCAACUGGAGCAUCUGGAAUAAAGGGACCAAGGAGUGGGAUUUGUAACAAAAAUUUGAAUGGAGAAAGAGGUGAGGAUUAAACACUUAUCUGAGUGAUUGUGAGUCCGAGAAUGACGCACUGAAAGUACAGAUACUGUACACCAACUGGACAAGGACAUGCAGCAGAAUGGUACUAUUUGGAAUGAAAACAAAGGGGGAAAUAAUAGUUGUUGCAAAAGAAAGUGCAACAGUAAUUAGAGCCUAAGUUGUUAGGAAAAUGAACAAUAGAGAAAUCAAUACACAUGAUAACUAUGAUUUUUGCCUAAUGCUCAGUUUGAAUUUAGAUGUGUUUAUUUGAGAAGAUAAAACUUGCAUGAAGAGAUAAAAAAUUCCUUGGGGUGAAAAAAAAUGACACAAGUGAGACACUGCUCGUCUAUUCCCAGAUAUUUUGGUCAGACGCCCUCUGCCUAGUGCAGUUUCAGCUCAGUGCCUUCCCUUCCUAGACAGUGGCAGGAUGUGCCCUCCUGUCUCUAUGGAAUGAGGGGCAUGGAUUAAGGGUAUUUCACACACUGCCUAGAAACCUUGGCCCAGUAACUAUGUACUCUCUACCUCUUCCAUGUUGACCUACUUAUGAGCCCCAAUGUCCUGUGAGCUUAGCUUUUCCCACUCCUCUUCUACACUGAGAAAAAAAGUUACCAGUGCUGGGUUUCUAUGAUAAACACCUGUGCAAAUAGUGGAGAAAGAAAAACAAAAAAAAAUUCAUAGGAUUUUAGCUAAAAACAAAAGUUGUGACUUUCUACGAACAUGAAAGAUGGAAAAUACAAAACAUCACUGUUCCUGGAGUGACAUGAGGGAGGAACAGACAAACGGCCUGUGGCACUUAUGUCCACACUUUAUGGAAUUAAGUGACCAAGCUCCUUUUACAUUAAUAAUUAGAACAAACCCUGUGAAUAUGUCCCCAGAUGAGCCACUGCCUACCUUACCAUUGUCCUCAUGCCAUAAUGAUAUUCUAACAUUUCAGAUCUUUCAAAGUACAUUCUUUCAAUUUCUCUAUGGUUUGUAUAUCAUGUUAGUUUAAAAUUACACAUUGUGUUUAAAAGUAGAUUCAUUACCAUUUCCUAAAUGGCAGUAAAAUGUAAAAAUAAACAUCGUUCCUUAAAUAUAGCUUUGCUAUUUCUGUUUGUAGCAGUUUUCAGGUAAAACCCAGAGACAGAUGUGUGUGUGCUUUGAAAGCUAAUGGAGCUCUGUUACAAUAAAUUUUUCUGCCAAAAGCCGCCUGAGCCCCAUUGCCACGUGUGUGCUUUAUGCCAGCUGCCCGCCUGAGUUGGGCCCAAAUGAAUACACAGAAACUUGUAUUAGGUUCAAAACUGCUUGACCAAUGAUUAGGAUUCCUCAUCUGUUAGCUCAGUCUUUAUUAUAACUCUAUUAUUUUAUAAGACUUAUCUUAUCGGACGCCUUAUUGACGUCCCUCCUUGCCGGUGGAUCACAUUGUGCUGCUGGAGGAGGUG